UACUUUUCUUAUCUUACACUAAUUUCAUUUGCGAUACAGCAAAGAUGGCGUUGAUUUUUAUUUUACUUUUGUCCUCUUACUAUUACUUUUUUUCCGUCUGUAUUUAUUCAAUAAUUGUAACAAUAGAAAUACUUGUUGCCACUUAUAAGUUAAAAAAUGAAAAAGAUAUAAGAUUUUUUCUUUGUAAUAAAAAAAAAUAACGAUUUGUAUAUUUAUAUACAUAUAUAUAUAUAUAAAUUUCUGUAUUUAUUUAUGUCACAUAUAUAACAAAUAUAUUAACACUAGUUAAAAUAUGCUGAAAUUAUUAUUACGACGAUAUCUACCAAAAAAAGAAAAUUAUCCAAAAAUUCACCAUUAUUUGGCUGGGAUAUAUGCAUUUACUGCAUGGACUACUACUAUAUACGUGUUUUGUAUAUUAUUAAAAGAAUCUUUACCUACAACUCCAAAACAAAGGCAAACAUUUAUAGAAAAUUUAGAAAAAGAAAAUAAGAAAAUACAACAUAUAAAAAUUAAUGGAUUUAGGAUAAAUUCUGAUGAAUAA